GUUGCUUCGGCGGCGCGGCCUCCCUCACGGGGGCGCCGCAGCCCCGCCUCUCCGGAGGCGUGGGGCACCCGCCGGAGGUACGAAACUCUGUAUUAUAGUGGCAUCUCUGAGUAAAAAACAAAUAAGUUAAAACUUUCAACAACGGAUCUCUUGGUUCUGGCAUCGAUGAAGAACGCAGCGAAAUGCGAUAAGUAAUGUGAAUUGCAGAAUUCAGUGAAUCAUCGAAUCUUUGAACGCACAUUGCGCCCGCUAGUACUCUAGCGGGCAUGCCUGUUCGAGCGUCAUUUCAACCCUCAAGCCCUGCUUGGUGUUGGGGCCCUACGGCUGCCGUAGGCCCUGAAAGGAAGUGGCGGGCUCGCUACAACUCCGAGCGUAGUAAUUCAUUAUCUCGCUAGGGAGGUGCGGCGUGCUCCUGCCGUUAAAGACCCCAUCUUUAACCAAGGUUGACCUCGGAUCGGGUAGGAAUACCCGCUGAACUUAAGCAUAUCA
rnacentral:rRNA from 1 species